GAGUUUGAUCCUGGCUCAGAGUGAACGCUGGCGGCAGGCCUAACACAUGCAAGUCGAGCGGCAGCGCGGGGGCAACCCUGGCGGCGAGCGGCGGACGGGUGAGGAAUGCAUCGGAAUCUACCUCGUUGUGGGGGAUAACCUCGGGAAACCGGGACUAAUACCGCAUACGACCUACGGGUGAAAGUGGGGGACCGCAAGGCCUCACGCGAUGAGAUGAGCCGAUGCCGGAUUAGCUAGUUGGCGGGUAAAGCCCACAAGGCGACGAUCCGUAGCUGGUCUGAGAGGAUGAUCAGCCACACUGGGACUGAGACACGGCCCAGACUCCUACGGGAGGCAGCAGUGGGGAAUUUUGGACAAUGGGGGCAACCCUGAUCCAGCCAUUCCGCGUGAGUGAAGAAGGCC
rnacentral:rRNA from 1 species